rnacentral:rRNA from 1 species
CUAGUAAUCGCGGAUCAGCAUGCCGCGGUGAAUACGUUCCCGGGCCUUGUGCACACCGCCCGUCACACCAUGGGAGUUUGUAACGCCCAAAGUCGGUGGCCUAACCUUUAUGGAGGGAGCCGCCUAAGGCGGGACAGAUGACUGGGGUGAAGUCGUAACAAGGUAAC